UCGAAGGUAGCAUAAUCAGUAGUUUUUUAAUUGAAAACUUGUAUGAAUGGUUUAACGAAAUAUUUUCUGUUUCAUAAAAAUUUAUUUAGAAAUUAAUUUUUUAGUAAAAAAGCUAAAAUAAAAUUAAAAGACGAGAAGACCCUAUAGAUUUUUAUAUUAUUAUUAUUAUUAUUAAUUUAUAAUAUUUAAGAUUUUAGUAAAAAUUUUAUUUUAUUGGGGUGAUAAUAAAAUUUUAUAAUCUUUUAUUAUUUUAUAACAAUGAUUUUUGAUAAAUUGAUCCUAUUUUAUAGAUUAAAAGAUUAAAUUACCUUAGGGAUAACAGCGUAAUUUUUUUGAAGAGUUCAAAUCGAUAAAAAAUUUUGCGACCUCGAUGUUGGAUUAA
rnacentral:rRNA from 1 species